rnacentral:lncRNA from 1 species
GGCGGGCGCCUGUAGUCCCAGCUCCUCGGGAGGCUGAGGCAGGAGAAUGGCGUAAACCCGGGAGGCGGAGCUUGCAGUGAGCUGAGAUCCGGCCACUGCACUCCAGCCUGGGCGACAGAGCGAGACUCCGUCUCAAAAAAAAAAAAAAAAAAAAGAGAGAUGGGGUCUCAGGAUUACAGGUGUGAGCCACCAUGCCUGGCCAACCCACGGGACUUUCUGUAAGAAGUGUGGCAAACACCAUCCCCACAAAGUGACACAGUACAAGGACAAGGAUUCUCUGUACACCCAGGGAGAGCGGGUUAUGACAGGAAGCUGAGCGGCUAUGGUGGGCAGACUAAGCCGAUUUUCUAGAAAAAGGCUAAAACUACAAAGAAGAUUGUGCUAAGGCUUGAGUGCGUUGAGCCCAACUGCACAUCUAAGAGAGUGCUGGCUGUUAAAGAUGUGAGCAUUUUGAACUGGGAGGAAGGAAGAAGAGAAAGGGCCAAGUGAUCCAGUUCUAAGUGUCAUCUUUUGUUUUAUUAUGAAGA